GUGACACAGUAACAGAGGGAUUGAGGGCCUGCUCAGUGAGUUUACAUGUUAGAGGGAGUGGGGUAUAGUGACACAGUAACAGAGGGAUUGAGGGCCUGCUCAGUGAGGUUACAUGUUAGAGGGAGUGGGGUAUAGUGACACAGUAACAGAGGGAUUGAGGGCCUGCUCAGUGAGUUUACAUGUUAGAGGGAGUGGGGUAUAGUAACACAGUAACAGAGGGAUUGAGGGCCCUGCUCAGUGAGUUUACAUGUUAGAGGGAGUGGGGUAUAGUGACACAGUAACAGAGGGAUUGAGG